UAUUAUCUACGGGAAUUCGAUCCACGAGCGUGUGGACGGACCAAUAAAUAAAUUCUGAUUGGCCUAAAAUAGUUCAGAAACACCUGUUCGGAGACAGAGAUUUCAGAAACGUAUUUUUAUUUUAUAUUGACGGUAAUAUUUUUUUCCAUGCAACCGUUUGGAUAUAUUUUGUAUGUCUGCCAACGUCUGAAUUUCCAAUAACUUGGCACAGGUACUAUGGCUACUAUUGCAAGUAUAGGUUAGGCCGACGACUAUUUGGGCGACGGAUUUU